rnacentral:tRNA from 1 species
CGGUGUAUAGCUCAGUGGUAGAGCACAUGCCUAGCAUGCGUGAGGUCCUGGGUUCAAUCACCAAUACCUCCA